rnacentral:rRNA from 1 species
GAUGAACGCUGACAGAAUGCUUAACACAUGCAAGUCUACUUGAAUUUGGGUUUUUUAACUUAGAUUUGGGUGGCGGACGGGUGAGUAACGCGUAAAGAACUUGCCUCACAGUUAGGGACAACAUUUGGAAACGAAUGCUAAUACCUGAUAUUAUGAAUAUAUGGCAUCAUAUAAUUAUGAAAGCUAUAAGCGCUGUGAGAGAGCUUUGCGUCCCAUUAGCUAGUUGGAGAGGUAACGGCUCACCAAGGCGAUGAUGGGUAGCCGGCCUGAGAGGGUGAACGGCAACAAGGGGACUGAGACACGGCCCUUACUCCUACGGGAGGCAGCAGUGGGGAAUAUUGGACAAUGGACCAAGAGUCUGAUCCAGCAAUUCUGUGUGCACGAUGACGUUUUUCGGAAUGUAAAGUGCUUUCAGUUGGGAAGAAAAAAAUGACGGUACCAACAGAAGAAGUGACGGCUAAAUACGUG